rnacentral:rRNA from 1 species
AUUGAACGCUGGCGGCAGGCCUAACACAUGCAGGUCGAGCGGAUGAGAGGAGCUUGCUUCUCGAUUCAGCGGCGGACGGGUGAGUAAUGCCUAGGGAUCUGCCUGGUAGUGGGGGACAACGUUUCGAAAGGAACGCUAAUACCGCAUACGUCCUACGGGAGAAAGCAGGGGACCUUCGGGCCUUGCGCUAUCAGAUGAGCCUAGGUCGGAUUAGCUAGUUGGUGAGGUAAUGGCUCACCAAGGCUACGAUCCGUAACUGGUCUGAGAGGAUGAUCAGUCACACUGGAACUGAGACACGGUCCAGACUCCUACGGGAGGCAGCAGUGGGGAAUAUUGGACAAUGGGCGAAAGCCUGAUCCAGCCAUGCCGCGUGUGUGAAGAAGGUCUUCGGAUUGUAAAGCACUUUAAGUUGGGAGGAAGGGCAGUAAGUUAAUACCUUGCUGUUUUGACGUUACCGACAGAAUAAGCACCGGCUAACUUCGUGCCAGCCGCCGCAGUAAAAC